UACGUAGGGGGCAAGCGUUGUCCGGAAUUAUUGGGCGUAAAGAGCGCGUAGGCGGUCCGAUAAGUCGGCUGUGAAAGUCAGGGGCUCAACCCUUGAAAGCCGGCCGAUACUGUCGGACUAGAGUCCGGAAGAGGCGAGUGGAAUUCCCGGUGUAGCGGUGAAAUGCGCAGAUAUCGGGAGGAACACCUGUGGCGAAAGCGGCUCACUGGACCAUUACUGACGCUGAUGCUCGAAAGCUAGGGGAGCAAACAGG
rnacentral:rRNA from 1 species